GACGUAGGGGGCCAGCGUUGUUCGGAAUUACUGGGUGUAAAGGGUUCGUAGGCGGUGUGGCAAGUCGGGAGUGAAAUCUCUGGGCUCAACUCAGAGACUGCUUCCGAAACUGCUGUGCUGGAGUGUGGGAGAGGCGCGUGGAAUUGCAGGUGUAGCGGUGAAAUGCGCAGAUAUCGGGAGGAACACCGGUGGCGAAGGCGGUUCUCUGGGACGGUACUGACGCUGAGACGCGAAAGCGUGGGGAGCGAACAGG
rnacentral:rRNA from 1 species